rnacentral:rRNA from 1 species
AAUUAAAAAGGUUUGGCGGUAAACUAGACUUAUUAGAGGAACUUGUGUCGUGAAUGAUAGUCCGCAAAUAUCUUACUUACAGAUGUUAUCAGCUUAUAUACCGUCGUUUUUAGAAUAACUUAAAAGAGAUUUUUCUUAGGUUUUUAUGAAAGGAAUUCAGAUCAAGGUGUAGCUAAUAUGUAAGGUGAGCAUGAGUUACAAUAGGGGGACCUAAACGGAAGGAUAAUGAAAUUUAUACGGAAGGUGGAUUUAAAUGUAAAUUUGCAAGAUGACAGCAAUUUGAAUGAGCACUGGAUUAUGU